GAUUUGGAGACAUUUCUGACGUUUGAAUACCUCGAGUGAACUAAUGCGAGCCGAUGCAUGAGAGGGCAUUGUGAAAGCUGGUUUGCUGAACUUCAAAGUUCAAAAAUGCCUAACCAUGCAUGAACAAACAGUUUUCAUGUAGCUGCAGUUAUCCGUGAAGUUUGGUGGGGCAGAGGAAAAAUUUGAGGGGCAAUGCCCCCCUGCCCCCCCAAUAUCCAACCCUUCUAGUUGACUUAUUUCACCAUUAUUGGCAGGGUUGAUGUCAGGACUCUAACUGGGCCACUCCAGCACUUUUAUAAUGUUAUUCUUAAAGCGCUCCAGUGUAGCUUCUCCCUGUGGAUCCACGUCCGUCUGAAAGGGUCAUUUCAGACCGAAACCGGUUGUCACAUUUACAUCGUUGAGCAGACGCUCUCAUCCUGAGGAGCACACACACCUGCUCUGACCUCCAGCAGAAGAUGCAUUCUCCUGCUCCUCCCCAGGGACUCUGUACCGCUCCCCCCAGGGAUGCUGUUGGCUGACCCUUCUCACAUGUUUUGCAAGUAAAAACUCAAGACAAAUUACUGUCCAUGCAAAUGGGAAUAAGACUGUUUUUCAGGGAAGGGCUGGGGGUGGUGUAAUUUUACUGAGGUUAAGUGCAUGGUAUGGAAGCUCUUAGUUCAGGCACUCUCUGAAGAGACAGGUCUUCAGUUCAUAGUAGAAAAUGGUGAGUGGUUCUGCAGUUUUGGCAGGGGUAGGGAUGGUUGCGUGGUGGUUGGUUGAGUAUGGGUUGGAUCCCUGUGGGGUGGAGUAUGAGCUGGAUCCCUGUGGUGGGUGGAGUAUGGGCUGGAUCCCUGUGGCAGGUUGAGUAGGGGCUGGAUCCCUGUGGGGUGGAGUAUGGGCUGGAUCCCUGUGGGGGGUUGAGAAUGGGCUGGAUCCCUGUGGGAGGUUGAGUAUGGGCUGGAUCCCUGUGGGGGGUUGAGAAUGGGCUGGAUCCCUGUGGGAGGUUGAGUAUGGGCUGGAUCACUGUGGGGGGUUGAGUAUGGGUUGGAUCUCUGUGGAGGUUUGAGAAUGGGCUGGAUCCCUGUGGUGAGUUGAGUAUGGACUAGAUCCCUGUGGCUAGUUGAGUAUGGACUGGAUCCCUGUGGGGGUUGAAUAUGGGCUGUAUCCCUGUGGGGGGUUGAGUAUGAGUUGGAUCCCUGUGGGGGGUUGAGUAUGAGUUAGAUCCCUGUGGGGGGUUG